rnacentral:rRNA from 1 species
AAUGAACGUUGGCGGCGUGGAUUAGGCAUGCAAGUCGAGCGAGAAUUUGCGAUUGGAAGCUUCGGCCGAAGAAAGUGAAGGAAAGCGGCAAACGGCGUAGUAAGGCGUAGGUACGUACCCUCGGGUCGGGAAUAGCCAUGGGAAACUGUGGGUAAUGCCCGAUAAUCUCUGCGGAGCAAAGGUGUGAUUCCGCCGGAGGAGCGGCUUACGUGAUAUUAGCUAGUUGGUGGGGUAAUGGCCUACCUAGGCAACGAUGUCUAGGGGGUGUGAGAGCAUGGCCCCCACGACCGGAACUGAGACACUGUCCGGACACCUACGGGUGGCUGCAGUCGAGAAUCUUCCGCAAUGGGCGAAAGCCUGACGGAGCGACGCCGCGUGGUGGAUGAAGGCCCUUGGGUUGUAAACACCUGUCAGAGGGGAUGAAAUCAUGGUUGGCAAUCCUUCCAUGUUGACAGAGCCUCAGAGGAAGCACGGGCUAAGUACGUGCCAGCAGCCG